UCUAUCCAAACAUCUUCCAUUUUCAGCCAAAUUUGUACAAAUCUUCCUUCUGCAAUAAUGCAAGUGUUUCAGCACGCAUACCCGAUUCACUGUUUCUGCCAUGUAUUUCAUCAACUGCAUAGAUCAGCCACAGAAAGAGGACAAAGACUGGAUUUUUAACUGCAUAACCUUGUAAUAAAAACUUUACUGUGAAAAAGAAUUUGAUGAGUUAUCAUUAUAUUAGUUCCCCCUCAAUUCUUAGCCUUUGGUUUUGCCAACCAUAUCUUAAAUUCCUUUAAAUUUUAUUAGUGUAUCUGUAAUGUGGUCAUUUUUUUAAUCAUUUGUCAUAUUUUCCCAAAAUUAAUCUAACUCAACAGAAUCUUGUUCAAUUCAACAGCAGUUAAAAGAACCAUUUGUUGCCUCACUUGAAAUUGAGUUUUGCAGUACCUGAAAUUUAAAAAGGUAGAUGCAAUACCCCAUUAUGAAAACUAUCAAAAUCCAUGGCCUAAAGCACAUUUACAGAAAGGGUUUAAAUUUACACAUGAAAUGCAUAUAUUGUUGGGAUAUGCAUGGUAAUAAAAUGAUCGGUUUUGAGAGUUUUGCACGUUUGUUGUAUUCUGGGGUUACAACUAGUUACACUUGAAAACAAUGUGACAAUCUAUGAUGAUCAAGUUUUAUACAGUUUGUUAAUUGCUCUUGGACGGUAGAGAAUGUGUCUGUACCAGAGGAAUGUUGACUUGAAUAAGCCUAAACUAUUAGGUCCACUAGUUCAAUGAAUAGUGUCCUUCAAUGCAUAGCUGUACUCCUAUUAUUACCUCACUACCAUUCACUCUACCUGGCUAAAGAACAAAAUGAAGUUUCCUCUGUUAAGAAUAAUUUAUGUUAAAGAUAAAGACUGAACACUCUUUUCAUAUCUUUUACAAAUUGAAGGCCUUCACACCUAAUAAGACUUUCAUAUUUGUCUUAAAAGUAUUCAAAAGUAUGCAAAAACAAGCGCCAAAAAUAUUGCACCAAAGAACAAAAUAAUGUAACUUUUGGGAAUUUUGGACAUGUGGUCUGUUAAAGUUGAUAGCAAACAAUGACACCACAAAUUCCAACAUUUUCCAAAUUGGCACCCUUUGAGUCUGCAAAGGUGAAUUUCAGCAAGGUGGAACAAGUUUUCAACCCUUUGGAGCAGGACAGAAAUAUUUUAUUCAAUAGAAAUUUCUUGGAUUAUCUUUUUAUUGUGUUGUUUCAACGCUUGUGAAUAAGUAAUGGAAAAAGAAAUGCACAGGCACGACUAUUUCAUGGAAUUUUUAUAUAUAAGUCUGUUUGUGCACUGUUUUCCUAUCAAAUAUUUUCCCUUCCUUCUCUUAGUCUGCUCUGCCAACUCUGUGGGUUCUGUUUUAGAGAGUCCAAUUCCAAUCCUAUCAUUGAAGUGAAAUUCUGUGAGGCAAAGCAAAAUGGGGUGCCAGCCAUUGGAAAAGGGAAAACCAAAACAUAAGAAGGGGUUAUGGUCACCUGAAGAAGACAAUAAGCUCAGAAACUACAUCCUUAAACAUGGUCAUGGCUGUUGGAGUUCUGUCCCCAUUAAGGCAGGUUGGUUUCUUUCUUCUUUCCUGGUUGUGACCUUUUGUCAAUCAUACCACAGUUUCCUUGGAUUUACUACACAAAGGGGCAUUGUUCCAUACUCUUAGUACUGUUAAAGUUAUUAAAUGGAGACAUCCCUGGUCUUCCUUAAGAAAGGUCUCUCUUCCUUGAUAUGAAAGUAUGUCUACUACUUAUUUGAGCAAAUAUUAUGUUAUCAAAUUGAAAUGUGGGCAUCUUUGACUGAUUUUAACAUCAAUAAAUUUCAGAUGUCUUAAUAAGCUUUUCUUUGCCCUUGUUUGAAUUAAUUCUAAUAAAUUUAUCCAAUCAAUUCUGGGUAUGAAAAGGAUACAUUGGUAAGUAGAGUAAUACUGGUGCCAUGAAGUGUAUUUGGCAUGAUAAGAAAAUUUUACUCAUUUUCUAUUUUAAAAAUAUCACACUUAGACUUCUUGACAAAAGAGACUGUUGUAAAGAUAAAAAAAAAGUUAAUGACUUGGUAGUUACUAAAAAUCCAUAAUCCUCCUUGCUGAAGUAAUUUGAUAAUUCUGGCUUGUAAUUUUAACAUCUCAUGGUAAGACUAAACGGGCAUUUUGUGUAAAAGUAUAUUUGCUGACAAAAAUCAAGUGUUAUAGUCAAACCAACAGACAUUUAUAUAAUAUUUUCAAUGUUUACCUGAUAUUGAUGGAACAAAUACAUUUAUGUAAAGGCUUGCAAAGGAAUGGAAAGAGUUGCAGACUAAGAUGGAUAAACUAUCUAAGGCCAGGAUUAAAGAGAGGGAAGUUCAGCAAACAGGAAGAAGAGACAAUCCUGACCCUUCACCACAUGCUAGGCAACAAGUAAGCCACAAGAGUAAAUCUUCUUUCACUUUAUCAAUUUAGAAGUUCCAGUUUUAUAAUUCUGUAAUUUUCAGUCAAAAUAUUGAUAAAGACAUGUCAGGAGUAGCUGUCAAAUGUUAAUUAUGUUUUAAUUAGAACAAGAAAUUAUGCAAAGUAAAGGAAAAGACAAAGUCCUGUAGUUCAAUAUUUGAGGCUUAAGCUAGGGAAUGCAAAUUGGAAUGCAAGGAGUUUAAUAUUUAAUUCUGUUUUAGAAAAGCAACUAGGGUGUUUACAAUGAAAAAUAAAGGAAGAAUUGGUAAGUCAAUCCAUGAAUUGGCUUUAGAUGCCAUGCUUCAUUUUUUUAAGAGGGAUGAACAUUGAAAACAAAAAGUCUAUUAUACUAUUCUACUAUUCCUCAAUUCUGUUGUAUAUUUAAUUUAAAUCCAGUCCAAUACCAUUUGUCCAGUGUUUCAGAUUGUCCCUUCGUAUAUUCCAAUUAGUAAGCAUCAAACAUUUUACACAUCGAAGACAAACUGUUCACAUAAAGAAUGUGUGUCUGUGAAACUUAGAACAGGAAUUCAGAACUACUGUUUAAACUCUUUGUUAUAAUAAUUUCUUUCACUUGUAGUGAAGAUUGAUGAGAAAAACUUGAAUUAUAUUAUUGGCCAGGUGGUCACAGAUAUCACAGCAUUUGCCAGGAAGAACAGACAAUGAGAUUAAAAACUACUGGCAUUCAUAUUUGAAAAAGAAAGUGGCCAAAGCUAAGGAAAUGGAUUUUCAUAACCAAAUGAAGUAUGCUAGCUCAAGCUCAGAUACCAUGGACUCUUCAAAUUCUCUCCAAAAACUUGCAACUCAAGGUACACAGAAUUUUAACUUCACCAAUGAGGCUUGUCAGAGCUCCUUACCAAAAUUGUUAUUUGCUGAGUGGCUUUCAUUGGAUCAAGUAAACUCUGCAAAUACAGUUGACUCUUUUGGUUUGAGGAAUGGACUUGAUCAAAAUUCAACUCUUGAGGAAG
rnacentral:lncRNA from 1 species